rnacentral:lncRNA from 1 species
GAUAUUGAACGUGAUUAGAGCAUACCUGGCUCAUGGCCUUCUUCCUCUAUUUAUAAUUUGUCCGAUGGACCUUAAACUGAGAUAAGCCUAAUAGAAUAUAAACAGAAUAAAAUAUAAACAAACUUACUUGGAAAUUUUAUUUUAUUCUCAAUAACCUUAGUAAGAUAUCUAUGAUUAUGGUGGACUAUAAGUCCAAUAAUAAGAGUUGGCUCAGUUAUGAACCAGCAUGGACAUAAUGUUACAUAUAACCGGUCGGCUAUUCUUUGUAACCGCUCGUCCCGAAUAUCAUACCGUACAUAACUAAAUUUUUUUUUACAGACACAUAACCGGUCCCG